rnacentral:rRNA from 1 species
AGCGAACGCUGGCGGCAGGCUUAACACAUGCAAGUCGAACGCAUCACUUCGGUGGUGAGUGGCAGACGGGUGAGUAACACGUGGGAACGUACCCUUCGAUCUGGGAUAACUUCGGGAAACUGGAGCUAAUACCGGAUACGCCCUUUUGGGGAAAGGUUUACUGUCGAAGGAUCGGCCCGCGUCUGAUUAUCUAGUUGGUGGGGUAACGGCCUACCAAGGCGACGAUCAGUAGCUGGUCUGAGAGGAUGAUCAGCGACACUGGGACUGAGACACGGCCCAGACUCCUACGGGAGGCAGCAGUGGGGAAUAUUGGACAAUGGGCGCAAGCCUGAUCCAGCCAUGCCGCGUGAGUGAUGAAGGCCUUAGGGUUGUAAAGCUCUUUUGUCCGGGACGAUAAUGACGGUACCGGAAGAAUAAGCCCCGGCUAACUUCGUG